rnacentral:lncRNA from 1 species
UUUCAAUAUUUCAGGUUUACUGUGCUGUUAGAACACUGUACCUGAUGUGUUUUCAUAUACCGUGGCUUUAAUAAUUCUUUCUAAAUAACCACUUUGAUAGAUAUUUAAUAGUUUUUUAAUUAAUGUUGGAGUAAAACUCAUUUAUAUUUGUGCUCCUUCCAGUCCUUCUUCUCUCCAGGCAAACAGUCUGUCUGCUUCCUGCACAGAGUCACCCAAACCAAUGAUGACACAGAAUCCAAUCAGAAAAGCAGCAUAAAGAUGAAAGGUCUUACCAAUGAGAAGUGAACUUGCUAAAGUACACCUUUCAAUGAAUUUGGACAAAACUGAAAAAUGUUGUUGAUAUCAGAUCCUUAGGCUGAUUACUGAAGUGUUCGAUUUUUCAGUCUUGGAAAUAAAUAAAUAAUGCAAAGAGAAGCCUUGGUGGCUGCAGGGAGGGGCCAGCGGCUGGGGACUGGUCCCCAUUACUGCAGGUUAAAUCCAACUCAGCAGCUGAUUGUGGGCGAACUGAUCCAUUGCCUGAGCUGAGCUAAUCAGACUCUGUCUUAUGGGGAUUUGAAAUUCAGGCACUGAGAAACUCAGUGGGUAAGAUGAAGAUGGUGCUGGAACUGAAAGUUUGUUCCAAGUGAGACCAUGUGGAAAGCAGAGGAAGCUUACUGAGAGACCAAAGUGAAGAAAGAAGAAGAGCAUGGCCAAGAUGAAACCCACAGAGAGAGAAUAACCCGGGCUUCGUUCCAGUUCCAGUUCCAGUUAUGACUUGGCCUGUAUCUCAUUUGUUUCCUGUCUGUACUUUCCAUUCUUUUUAGGAUUGCCUGUUGCAUCUUUACAAUAAAAU